UGUGAUGCUCACAAGUCACAAUUUUUUGUGAGGUUAUUUUUGUGAGGUUUCUUAUGAGGUUCUCACAAUUCCGUAUUCUGCAAAAAACCUCAUAAGAAACCUCACAGUAGACUCACCACAGAAGAGGUGAGUUCUCACUCUGACAGCUGAUUUGUUUUGACAAGAUUAAAAAAAAAAAACAAGAACAUACAAUACGCACAAAGUAAAUACUUGGAUUCUUCGAAUUAUAAAAAUAAAAACAAUUAAAAACAAGAAAAAGAAGCGACAUGAAUAACCCGAAGGAAUCCGUCACUAUCCAGUAAGUACACAGAUGAAGUCAACAAUAUCCUAUGGUCGGCGAUGAGAGUGCGCCUCAGCAUGUUCUAAAUAAACCGACUCCAUCCCUCAAACAAUAAUAAUGUAGAUCCAAAGAAACGCCAGGAAAACAACCACCUAAAGCCCAUGCAGCACAUAGAGUACGAUGUUCAAUAAAAGUUCCAUUUGUCGUUGAUACCAAUUGCCUCCUCCCAGCCAAAAGUAUGAUAUCCGAUGACGAAGGUGCAAGUAAUGGAAGCCAUUCAGAUAAUAAACCGAGUCAAUCACGAGUGGGUGACAACUGUAUUUGUGAAAGAUUUGUUGGGCGAUGAGCAAUGCUGGAGGAAAACAAUGGCGAUGAAGUUGGAAUUAUGGAACUUUUUUUCAUUAUCAACCUGUGAUGACAGCAGCAUUUCUUUCUGAAUUUUUUACAAUUGUCAACAAGUUGCGUUGCAUUCAACGUUUCCAUGUACGCAAGUGCUACACAUUUGCCCGGUGGAUCUCAGUCGGUUGACCAUAAAUUUAUUCACUCCAUCAGCACAACAUAACCACUAUAACCAG